rnacentral:misc_RNA from 1 species
UGGUUCUGGCAUCGAUGAAGAACGCAGCGAAAUGCGAUAAGUAAUGCGAAUUGCAGAAUUCCAGUGAGUCAUCGAAUCUUUGAACGCAUAUUGCGCCCUUUGGUAUUCCGAAGGGCAUGCCUGUUCGAGCGUCAUUAUCACCCCUCAAGCCUUCGGCUUGGUGUUGGACGGUUUGGUUUUGGCGACAAGACCCCUCCUAAAGCUAAUGACGGCGGCCUGUGCGACCCCCGGUACACUGAGCUUCUUAACUGAGCACGUACCGGCUUUAGGGUUGACGGGGCCCGGUCUUCUUCCUUCACGGGAAAACACUUUUCCAAAAGGUUGACCUCGGAUCAGGUAGGGAUACCCGCUGA